GUACCAUUGGCCGAUCGGAUUAGGCAAACGACUCAUAAUCGUUUUCAGGUAGGUUCAACUCCUACAUGGUGCA
rnacentral:tRNA from 1 species